rnacentral:piRNA from 1 species
UGGCUACACAGGGAUCGUGUGAUGUGU